rnacentral:rRNA from 1 species
UACAGAGGUCUCAAGCGUUGUUCGGAUUCAUUGGGCGUAAAGGGUGCGUAGGCGGCGCGGUAAGUCGGGUGUGAAAUCUCGGGGCUUAACUCCGAAACUGCAUUCGAUACUACCGUGCUUGAGGACUGGAGAGGAGACUGGAAUUUACGGUGUAGCGGUGAAAUGCGUAGAUAUCGUAAGGAAGACCAGUGGCGAAGGCGGGUCUCUGGACAGUUCCUGACGCUGAGGAGCGAAAGCGUGGGGAGCAAACAGG